UUGCAGUUAAAAAGCUCGUAGUUGAACUUCAGGCCUGGCCGGGCGGUCCGCCUAACGGUGUGUACUGUCUGGCUGGGUCUUACCUCUUGGUGAACCUGCAUGCCCUUUACUGGGUGUGUAGGGGAACCAGGACUUUUACCUUGAGAAAAUUAGAGUGUUCAAAGCAGGCCUACGCCCGAAUACAUUAGCAUGGAAUAAUAGAAUAGGACGUGCGGUCCUAUUUUGUUGGUUUCUAGGAUCGCCGUAAUGAUAAAUAGGGACAGUUGGGGGCAUUUGUAUUGCGUCGCUAGAGGUGAAAUUCUUGGAUUGACGCAAGACAAACUACUGCGAAAGCAUUUGCCAAGGAUGUUUUCAUUAAUCAAG
rnacentral:rRNA from 1 species